rnacentral:rRNA from 1 species
CACGGGGGUUGCGAGCGUUGUCCGGAAUUACUAGGCGUAAAGGGCAGGCAGGCGGAUCCAUAAGUUUAUCGUUUAAGGCGUCGGCUUAAACCGGCGUAGGGCGGUAGAUACUGUGGAUCUGGAAUACGGUUGGGGAAGACAGAAGUUCCUGGUGUAGCGGUGGAAUGCGCAGAGAUCAGGAGGAAUACCGAAGGCGAAGGCAGUCUUCCAAGCCGUUAUUGACGCUCAACUGCGAAGGUGUGGGUAUCAAACAGGAUUAGAUACCCCUGUAGUCCCUGAGCGGG